ACAUCUACCAAUGGUUGUACAUGACAGAGACCUUCUCCACCUCUUCGCUGUCCUACUAGUCAAUCCUUCUGAUUCUGAUCCUUUCCUAAAUAGUGAAAGGAUCAUGCCAGCCCACAUCAAACACCUGAUCAAGAACUUGUGAAUCUUCAGGCAGAAAAGAUGAAAACACCCGUUCAAAGUUCCAGUUCCCUGUACAUGGAACCAUGCCUGUCCUCUGUUCCACAUGUCUUCAGUCAGUUCUGGACCCUAUGACUCGGUCCCUAGUUCUACCAAGGCUCAUUAGAGUUUGCUUCAAGAAGUGGCUUCAACAGACAGAAGUGCAGGCCAGAAUGG